GUUGAAGAACGCAGCGAAAUGCGAUACGUAAUGUGAAUUGCAGAAUUCAGUGAAUCAUCGAAUCUUUGAACGCACAUUGCACUCUCUGGUAUUCCGGAGAGUAUGCUUGUUUGAGUAUCAGUAAACACCUCAGAUCUCUUGUUUCUUGUGAAUAAGAGAAUUGGACUUGAGCAAUCCCAACUCUUGCAAAAGAGGCGGGUUGCUUGAAAUGCAGGUGCAGCUGGACAUUCUUCUGAGCUAAAAGCAUAUUUAUUUAGUCCCGUAAAACGGAUUAUUACUUUUGCUGCAGCUAACAUAAAGGUUGAAUGGCCAAUAUGGCUGACUGAUGCAGGAUUAACAGAGAAUUUAUUCUUUGUAAACUCGAUCUCAAAUCAAGUAAGACUACCCGCUGAACUUAAGCAUAUCAAUAAGCGGAGGA
rnacentral:misc_RNA from 1 species